UACGAAGGGGGCGAGCGUUGUUCGGAUUUACUGGGCGUAAAGGGUGCGUAGGCGGCUUCUUAAGUCUGGUGUGAAAUCUCCCGGCUCAACUGGGAGGGUGCGCCGGAUACUGAGGGGCUAGAGUGUGGGAGAGGAAAGUGGAAUUCCUGGUGUAGCGGUGAAAUGCGUAGAUAUCAGGAGGAACACCGGUGGUGUAAACGGCUUUCUGGACCAUAACUGACGCUGAGGCACGAAAGCGUGGGUAGCAAACAGG
rnacentral:rRNA from 1 species